rnacentral:rRNA from 1 species
AUCAACGCUGGCGGCGUGCCUCAGACAUGCAAGUCGAACGAGAACCUCCCUUCGGGGAGGGGACAGUGGCGCACGGGUGAGUAACACGUGGGUAAUUUACCUUUGGGUGGGGAACAACAGCCGGAAACGGCUGCUAAUACCGCAUAAUGCAGCGGCUCGACAUCGAGACAGUUGUUAAAGCGGGGGAUCGCAAGACCUCGCGCCUGAAGAGAAGCCCACGGCGGAUUAGCUAGUUGGUAGGGUAAUGGCCUACCAAGGCAACGAUCUGUAACCGGCCUGAGAGGGCGGUCGGUCACACUGACACUGACAUACGGGUCAGACUCCUACGGGAGGCAGCAGUCGGGAAUUUUGGGCAAUGGGCGAAAGCCUGACCCAGCAACGCCGCGUGUUAAGGAUGAAGCUUUUCGGAGUGUAAACUUCACAAGAAUGGGAAGAAUAAGAAUAGGAUAAUA